AACUCCAGUGCUUGGCACAUAGUGAGUGUUUCACAAAUACCAUUCAGGGGAAAAAAAAAAGCAAACACCCACUGAACGCUGAACAGAUCUCAGCUCUUGACAUGAACCCUUCUCAGGUGCAAUUCGUCGAGGCCAGCUCUUCACUAGGAAAUCACUCUGAUAAAUGAGGCCAUCCUUAGCUUCCUGCAACAGGUGGGAGACAGACAUAGAGUACCUUGGGAAUGGAGCCGGCACUCACUGGUGGGCAACGAAAGAAGGUGACGGAUGGAUAGGUUAGUUGAGGCAUUGUUGAGCUGGGACAGCGUGCGCAGGCGCAGUGCAGCCAGUUUGGUGGCUGAAUCGCUGUUACAAAGGGAGGCACGAAAGGAGUUUGGGGAAGAGAGAGAGGGAGCCAACUAGUCAGCCAGGGGCUGCCCGAGAAAUGUCUCUUGUUGCUCUACUUUCCCGCGGGGGCUGAAGCUUCUCUCCUAGAUGCGUGUGGGUGGGCAGAAAGAAAAAAUGCAGCCGAAGUAGUUUUCGCGCUGCACUGAAAACUCUCUUCUGUGUUUUUUUUUGGUGAGUCGGAGGAGGGGGCAGUGGUGGGGAGACGGCCCCGGGUUUCUUCGUGGGUUUAAUUCUGGCGUUCGGAAAGCCUUGCAAACUCCGCCUCCCUCCCCCUCCUGCCCGCCCCCUUCCCUUCAGUCCCAGCGCAGCAUCUGUGCCCAGCGGGGCCCGGCGCGGCAGCAGGUCCAAUAAAGCGGACGGAGGUGAGUGAGCGAGCUGCAGUUUCUUUCGCUUGGGCAGAAAGGGGUUGCGUCCCGGAGACUUGCUCCAGGAGCCCAGCGUCCGAGGAAGGUGCUUCUGCCUGGCUGGCCCUCUGGGGAUCUCCUUCAGGUAGACGAUCAACUGAACCCUUAUCUUUUUGCCAAAGAGUGAAGCUAGCUGUGGUGGUGCAGUAAAUGCUAUGUACACAGCUGCAAGAAGCAGGUGGCUUGUCUGGGAACUUUGGGUGACUUACUGCAGAUAAUGGGGAACCUUAUACAACUCUCUUGCUAGAAAGGAAUUUUUCUGAAACAUGGGGUGUUUUGUUCCCUCUUGAUGGAGAACCUUUCAGUAAGCAGGCACUAUUUGCAUUGCUUUGAAGAUGGUGUUACAGCAAUAAUGUGACUUAUUGCUGGUCAGGGGCGAAGUAGGGUGUGUUAACUCUUCGGUGCAUAUGGUCUGUACAAAGGUUGGUUGGUGACACAAUCCUUAACUUUUGUAAGCAAAAUUCAUUAAAUGUCAAGGAAGUCUUAGGCAUGUCCCCUUCAUUUAAUGCCUAGUCACAGGGUAUAUUCUGAAUUCUGGCCACGAUCAGUAAUAGAGCAUUGUUUCCGGUAGAAACUGAAUGGUGAAGGGGUUCUAGAAAAUCAACAGUGAAAUAUCUCUCCCCCCCCCACCUCCCUGCCCUCAAUCAUAUCAAAUCUCACACUAGUUGAAUUUUAGACUGAAAAACUAAACACUACAUCAAUGUCAUUUGUCUAAACCUCAAAAGAGGAAGAGGGCAGAAGAGAAAUCAGUGGCAGUCAAGUUGUUUUUCU
rnacentral:lncRNA from 1 species